UACGGGAGGCAGCAGUGGGGAAUAUUGCACAAUGGGCGCAAGCCUGAUGCAGCCAUGCCGCGUGUAUGAAGAAGGCCUUCGGGUUGUAAAGUACUUUCAGUCGUGAGGAAGGUGUUAAGGUUAAUAACCUUAGCAAUUGACGUUAGCGACAGAAGAAGCACCGGCUAACUCCGUGCCAGCAGCCGCGGUAAUACGGAGGGUGCGAGCGUUAAUCGGAAUUACUGGGCGUAAAGGGCACGCAGGCGGUUAAUUAAGUUGGAUGUGAAAUCCCCGGGCUUAACCUGGGAAUGGCAUUCAAGACUGGUUAGCUAGAGUCUUGUAGAGGGGGUAGAAUUCCAUGUGUAGCGGUGAAAUGCGUAGAGAUGUGGAGGAAUACCGGUGGCGAAGGCGGCCCCUGGACAAAGACUGACGCUCAUGUGCGAAGCGUGGGGAGCGAAACAGGAUUAGAUACC
rnacentral:rRNA from 1 species